AAUGAACGUUGGCGGCGUGGAUUAGGCAUGCAAGUCGAGCGAGAACCCGCAAGGGGGACAGCGGCAAACGGGGUAGUAAUGUGUCGGAACGUGCCCUCUGGACGGGGAUAGCGGCGGGAAACUGCCGGUAAUACCCGAUGAACUCGAGAGAGCAAAGGUGUGAUUCCGCCGGAGGAGCGGCCGACAUGGUAUUAGCUAGUUGGCGGGGUAACGGCCCACCAAGGCUGUGAUGCCUAGGGGAUGUGAGAGCAUGAUCCCCACCAUUGGGACUGAGACACUGCCCAGACACCUACGGGUGGCUGCAGUCGAGAAUCUUCGUCAAUGGGCGAAAGCCUGAACGAGCGACGCCGCGUGCGGGAUGAAGGCCCUUGGGUUGUAAACCGCUGUCGAGGGGGAUGAAGUGUACGAGAGUUAUCUCUUGUAUUUGACAGAGCCUCAGAGG
rnacentral:rRNA from 1 species